AGGGUGUAAACGCUGCCGACUUGGUGUUGGAGGCCCUUCGGGGGCAUUCAGUGCCGGAGAGAAGUUGUUAAGUCGGCCACUUGGGAGUACGUCCGCAAGGAUGAAACUUAAAGGAAUUGGCGGGGGAGCACCGCAACGGGAGGAGCGUGCGGUUUAAUUGGAUUCAACACCGGAAACUCACCAAGGGCGACUGUUACAUGAAAGCCAGGCUAAUGACCUUGCUUGAUUUUCAGAGAGGAGGUGCAUGGCGUCAGUGACU
rnacentral:rRNA from 1 species